GACGAACUGUGCGAACGUUAUUCGGAAUCACUGGGCUUACAGGGUGCGUAGGCGGCCUGUUAAGUAGGGUGUGAAAUCCCCCGGCCCAACCGGGGAACUGCGCUCUAAACUAACAGGCUUGAGUGAGCUAGGGGUGCACGGAACUUCCAGUAGAGCGGUGAAAUGUGUUGAUAUUGGAAGGAACACCGGAGCCGAAAGGGGUGCACUGGGGCUUAACUGACGCUGAGGCACGAAAGCCAGGGUAGCGAACGGG
rnacentral:misc_RNA from 1 species